GCAGAAGAGGUGAUUGAAGCGGUCUCCAAAUUGACAAAUGAUUCGGCUUCACCUGAAGGCAAACCUGUUAAAGACCUAUUGGCUGAAGCUAAAAAUGUCCAUAAUAAAUUAAGAAAAAGUAUGAAAUCGAUAGGGAAGUUCUUAAAACAGCGGCCCAUGGUAGGAAUGCUAAAGGUGAUCAAAACGCUCUCUGAAACUGUUGGUAACGCGAGCUCUACAAACGCCGUAUUGGACCUUUUGAUUGGAUGGUCAGGUAUUGUACUUCCUAUAAUAGACCUAAUGAUUUAAGUAGUAUU